UGGAUAGGCAUGCAAGUCGAGCGGGCCAGCAAUGGCCAGCGGCGCAAGGGUGAGUAAGGCGACGGCAAUCAACCCCGAGGAUGGGUAUAGCCGCGGGAAACUGCGGGUAAUCCCCAGCGAUGCGAGGGCGUCGGCAUCGACGCUUCGCCAAAGGAUUCGUCCGCCUCGGGACGAGCCGUCGUGGUAUUAGGUAGUUGGCGGGGUAGCGGCCCACCAAGCCUUCGAUGCCUACCGGGCGUGCGAGCGCGGCCCGGCACACUGGGACUGAGACACUGCCCAGACUCCUACGGGAGGCUGCAGUCGAGAAUCUUCGGCAAUGGGCGCAAGCCUGACCGAGCGACGUCGCGUGGAGGACGAAGGCCUUCGGGUUGUAAACUCCUGUCGAGGGGGAGAAAGGUUUCGCAAGAAGCUUGAUCGAUCCCUGGAGGAAGCACGGGCUAAGUUCGUGCCAGCAGCCGCGGUAAGACGAACCGUGCGAACGUUAUUCGGAAUCACUGGGCUUAAAGCGCGUGUAGGCGGAUUGGUGCGUCGGCGCCUGAAAUCCCCCGGCUCAACCGGGGAACGCGGCCCGAAACGACCAGUCUGGAGGGACGUAGGGGGGACUGGAACUUCCGGUGGAGCGGUGAAAUGCGUUGAGAUCGGAAGGAACGCCCGUGGCGAAAGCGAGUCCCUGGACGUCUACUGACGCUGAGACGCGAAAGCUAGGGGAGCGAACGGGAUUAGAUACCCCGGUAGUCCUAGCCGUAAACGAUGAGCACUGGGUAGGGGGCCCGCCCAUGGGCUCCCUGCCGCAGGGAAACCGUGAAGUGCUCCGCCUGGGGAGUAUGGUCGCAAGGCUGAAACUCAAAGG
rnacentral:rRNA from 1 species